AACGAACGCUGGCGGUAUGCCUAACACAUGCAAGUCGAACGACACCUUCGGGUGUAGUGGCGCACGGGUGCGUAAAGCGUGGGAACCUGCCCUUAGAUUCGGAAUUCCACCUUGAAAGGGGUGCUAACACCGGGUAAUGUCCUCGGAUAACACAUUUAUCGCACUUGGGUGGGCACGCGUUCGAUUAGCUUGUUGGCAGGGAAUAGGCCUAACACGGCGAGGAUCCGUAGCUGGUCUAAGGGCAUGAUAAGCCACACUGUGACUGAGGUACGGCCCAGACUCCUACGGGAGGACGCAGUCGGGACUAUUGGACGAUGGGGGCAAGCCUGAUCCAGGCAUAUCGCGUGGGGGAUGAAGGACUUCGGGUUGGUGAGUGAUUUAGUUGGGAAAGAAAAGCAGCACGUUAAUACCGCGCUGUUCUGACGGUACCCAAAGAAUAAGCACCGGCUAACUUCGUG
rnacentral:rRNA from 1 species